AAUCAACGCUGGCGGCGUGCCUAACACAUGCAAGUCGAGCGAGAAAGGGGGGGCAACUCCCUGAGUAAAGCGGCGCACGGGUGAGUAACACGUGGGUAAUCUGCCCUGGAGUGGGGAAUAACACCGGGAAACCGGUGCUAAUACCGCAUACGAUAGCGAGGUCUGCGGAUCUUGCGAUGAAAGGAGCAAUUCGCUCUAGGAGGAGCCCGCGGCUGAUUAGCUAGUUGGUGAGGUAAUGGCUCACCAAGGCAACGAUCAGUAGCCGGUCUGAGAGGACGGUCGGCCACACUGGAACUGAGACACGGUCCAGACUCCUACGGGAGGCAGCAGUGGGGAAUUUUUGGCAAUGGGGGCAACCCUGACCAAGCAACGCCGCGUGGGUGAUGAAGUCUCUUGGGACGUAAAACCCUUUCGACGGGGAAGAAACCGCAAGGUUGACGGUACCCGUAGAAGAAGCCCCGGCUAACUCCGUGC
rnacentral:rRNA from 1 species